CCUACGGGUGGCAGCAGUGAGGAAUAUUGGUCAAUGGACGAGAGUCUGAACCAGCCAAGUAGCGUGAAGGAUGACUGCCCUACGGGUUGUAAACUUCUUUUAUAAAGGAAUAAAACGAGGCACGUGUGCCUUUUUGCAUGUACUUUAUGAAUAAGGAUCGGCUAACUCCGUGCCAGCAGCCGCGGUAAUACGGAGGAUCCGAGCGUUAUCCGGAUUUAUUGGGUUUAAAGGGAGCGUAGAUGGGUUGUUAAGUCAGUUGUGAAAGUUUGCGGCUCAACCGUAAAAUUGCAAUUGAUACUGGCAGUCGUGAGUACAGUUGAGGUAGGCGGAAUUCGUGGUGUAGCGGUGAAAUGCUUAGAUAUCACGAAGAACCCCGAUUGCGAAGGCAGCUUACUAAACUGUGACUGACAUUGAUGCUCGAAAGUGUGGGUAUCAAACAGGAUUAGAUACCCGAGUAGUC
rnacentral:rRNA from 1 species